AAGCUAAGCCAUGCAAGUCUAAGUUCAGGCUUKYUCCUUUCGGGGAGCGAGCCGAAACUGCGAACGGCUCAUUAGUCAGAUAAGGUUCCUUGGCUAAAAGCGGGUCGGUUUUAAUGGAUAACUGUGGUAAUUCUAGAGCUAAUACAUGCAACGCACCGUGGUCCCCGUAGUCUUCUAGUCUCGGGGAAACGGCAUUUAUUCUCUGGACCAGAUCGCCCUAGCCUGCGAAGCUACCGUCAAAAGUAGCGACGGGGCGAAGCGACAAGUGUUGAAAUCCGAAUAACUGUGCCGAUCGCGGGGUCUUUCCGGGCCCCCGACGACUUUGCCAUGAAGUGUCUGUCCCAUCAAUUGGCGAUGGUCGGCGACCUGCCUACCACGGUGUUGACGGGUAACGGGGAAUCAGGGUUCGAUUCCGGAGAGGGAGCCUGCGAAACGGCUACCACCUCCAAGGAGGGCAGCAGGCGCGCAACUUACCCAAUCCCGACACGGGGAGGUAGUGACGAAAAAUAACGUGGCGGGGCCCUUUCGUGGUCGCCGCGGGCGGAAUGAGCGCAAUUUAAAAGAGUGUGCGAGGAUCCAUUGGAGGGCAAGUCU
rnacentral:rRNA from 1 species